AUCUCAAGUGUUGGCUUGGUUGGUAGAGCAUGAGAUUCUUCAUCUCCAGGUCAUGGGUUUGAUCCCCACAUAGGGCA